rnacentral:rRNA from 1 species
AUUAGCCGAUCAAGCUGCAAAAUCAGCAAGCAGUAUGCCACUUAUCCUCACCCCAAACAUAAAUACCACAGAUAUAAAAAAACACCUUAAAGCCGACCUUGCGACAAAACAGAAAGAACACAUAAUAAACUGCAGUCCAUGGUACCAAUCUAUUAACACGAACACCUCACACCCAUGCGAUUACCUUAAACAAUCCCACCCAAAUUGGACCAGACUCGACCAAAUAAAAAUAAUACGACUUCGACUAGGACACACAAACAUAACCCACCAACACUACCUAAAUCCCAAUUCAAUACCAACUUGCCCGUUUUGCCAAGGUGACAUUUCUUUAAACCACAUAUUUAACUCAUGCCCAUCCCUCCUACAAACCAAGCAAGAUAUAUUUAACAACACCAACCCUCUAGACCUUCUUAGCAAACCCAAUCCAGAUAACAUACAAAAACUCAUACUUUUCCUCAAAAAAACUAAAUUAUACCACAAAAUCUAAAAACAAAACAGGCAUUUGUACAUAACAAGCCAGCAAUUAGUUACCAAAUUAGAUAUUAACUAAAUUAAGAUAUAAUAACAUUGUAAAUAAAUAUAGCUGUAAGCCCCGUAGCUAAUGCUAUACUAUCUAAGUUAGUCUAGUUUUGUAAACUAUUCUAUCUAUCAUAAUAAAUAAAUAAAAAUAUUAUUUAUGCCUCUAACUGGAACGUACCUUGAGCAUAUAUGCUGUGACCCGAAAGAUGGUGAACUAUACUUGAUCAGGUUGAAGUCAGGGGAAACCCUGAUGGAAGACCGAAACAGUUCUGACGUGCAAAUCGAUUGUCAGAAUUGAGUAUAGGGGCGAAAGACCAAUCGAACCAUCUAGUAGCUGGUUCCUUCCGAAGUUUCCCUCAGGAUAGCUGGUGCAUUUUAAUAUUAUAUAAAAUAAUCUUAUCUGGUAAAGCGAAUGAUUAGAGGCCUUAGGGUCGAAACGAUCUUAACCUAUUCUCAAACUUUAAAUGGGUAAGAACCUUAACUUUCUUGAUAUGAAGUUCAAGGUUAUGAUAUAAUGUGCCCAGUGGGCCACUUUUGGUAAGCAGAACUGGCGCUGUGGGAUGAACCAAACGUAAUGUUACGGUGCCCAAAUUAACAACUCAUGCAGAUACCAUGAAAGGCGUUGGUUGCUUAAAACAGCAGGACGGUGAUCAUGGAAGUCGAAAUCCGCUAAGGAGUGUGUAACAACUCACCUGCCGAAGCAACUAGCCCUUAAAAUGGAUGGCGCUUAAGUUGUAUACCUAUACAUUACCGCUAAAGUAGAUGAUUUAUAUUACUUGUGAUAUAAAUUUUGAAACUUUAGUGAGUAGGAAGGUACAAUGGUAUGCGUAGAAGUGUUUGGCGUAAGCCUGCAUGGAGCUGCCAUUGGUACAGAUCUUGGUGGUAGUAGCAAAUAAUCGAAUGAGACCUUGGAGGACUGAAGUGGAGAAGGGUUUCGUGUGAACAGUGGUUGAUCACGAGUUAGUCGGUCCUAAGUUCAAGGCGAAAGCCGAAAAUUUUCAAGUAAAACAAAAAUGCCUAACUAUAUAAACAAAGCGAAUUAUAAUACACUUGAAUAAUUUUGAACGAAAGGGAAUACGGUUCCAAUUCCGUAACCUGUUGAGUAUCCGUUUGUUAUUAAAUAUGGGCCUCGUGCUCAUCCUGGCAACAGGAACGACCAUAAAGAAGUCGUCGAGAGAUAUCGGAAGAGUUUUCUUUUCUGUUUUAUAGCCGUACUACCAUGGAAGUCUUUCGCAGAGAGAUAUGGUAGAUGGGCUAGAAGAGCAUGACAUAUACUGUUGUGUCGAUAUUUUCUCCUCGGACCUUGAAAAUUUAUGGUGGGGACACGCAAACUUCUCAACAGGCCGUACCAAUAUCCGCAGCUGGUCUCCAAGGUGAAGAGUCUCUAGUCGAUAGAAUAAUGUAGGUAAGGGAAGUCGGCAAAUUAGAUCCGUAACUUCGGGAUAAGGAUUGGCUCUGAAGAUUGAGAUAGUCGGGCUUGAUUGGGAAACAAUAACAUGGUUUAUGUGCUCGUUCUGGGUAAAUAGAGUUUCUAGCAUUUAUGUUAGUUACUUGUUCCCCGGAUAGUUUAGUUACGUAGCCAAUUGUGGAACUUUCUUGCUAAAAUUUUUAAGAAUACUAUUUGGGUUAAACCAAUUAGUUCUUAUUAAUUAUAACGAUUAUCAAUUAACAAUCAAUUCAGAACUGGCACGGACUUGGGGAAUCCGACUGUCUAAUUAAAACAAAGCAUUGUGAUGGCCCUAGCGGGUGUUGACACAAUGUGAUUUCUGCCCAGUGCUCUGAAUGUCAAAGUGAAGAAAUUCAAGUAAGCGCGGGUCAACGGCGGGAGUAACUAUGACUCUCUUAAGGUAGCCAAAUGCCUCGUCAUCUAAUUAGUGACGCGCAUGAAUGGAUUAACGAGAUUCCUACUGUCCCUAUCUACUAUCUAGCGAAACCACAGCCAAGGGAACGGGCUUGGAAUAAUUAGCGGGGAAAGAAGACCCUUUUGAGCUUGACUCUAAUCUGGCAGUGUAAGGAGACAUAAGAGGUGUAGAAUAAGUGGGAGAUAUUAGACCUCGGUUUGGUAUCGUCAAUGAAAUACCACUACUCUUAUUGUUUCCUUACUUACUUGAUUAAAUGGAACGUGUAUCAUUUCCUAGCCAUUAUACGGAUAUAUUUAUUAUAUCUUAUGGUAUUGGGUUUUGAUGCAAGCUUCUUGAUCAAAGUAUCACGAGUUUGUUAUAUAAUCGCAAACAAAUUCUUUAAUAAAACGAUGCAUUUAUGUAUUUUUGAUUUGAAAAUUUGGUAUAACUCCAAUUACUCAGGUAUGAUCCAAUUCAAGGACAUUGCCAGGUAGGGAGUUUGACUGGGGCGGUACAUCUCUCAAAUAAUAACGGAGGUGUCCCAAGGCCAGCUCAGUGCGGACAGAAACCACACAUAGAGCAAAAGGGCAAAUGCUGACUUGAUCUCGGUGUUCAGUACACACAGGGACAGCAAAAGCUCGGCCUAUCGAUCCUUUUGGUUUAAAGAGUUUUUAACAAGAGGUGUCAGAAAAGUUACCAUAGGGAUAACUGGCUUGUGGCGGCCAAGCGUUCAUAGCGACGUCGCUUUUUGAUCCUUCGAUGUCGGCUCUUCCUAUCAUUGUGAAGCAAAAUUCACCAAGCGUUGGAUUGUUCACCCAUGCAAGGGAACGUGAGCUGGGUUUAGACCGUCGUGAGACAGGUUAGUUUUACCCUACUAAUGACAAAACGUUGUUGCGACAGCAUUCCUGCGUAGUACGAGAGGAACCGCAGGUACGGACCAAUGGCACAAUACUUGUUCGAGCGAACAGUGGUAUGACGCUACGUCCGUUGGAUUAUGCCUGAACGCCUCUAAGGUCGUAUCCGUGCUGGACUGCAAUGAUAAAUAAGGGGCAAUUUGCAUUGUAUGGCUUCUAAACCAUUUAAAGUUUAUAAUUUACUUUAUAAACGACAAUGGAUGUGAUGCCAAUGUAAUUUGUAACAUAGUAAAUUGGGAGGAUCUUCGAUCACCUGAUGCCGCGCUAGUUACAUAUAAAAGCAUUAUUU